UUCACCUUCCAUCCUCCAGACUCCAGCACAGAGAGCAAUGAUGAGCGAUCUCCCGUACCUCCCCGCCGCCCACCCCAUCUCCAGCAGAAACAACAGCAGCAGCAGCAACAGCAACAGCAGCAGCAACAACAACAACAAAAGCCUACCAACCUUCCAGCCACACAACAACAACAACAACAACAGCAUCCUCACCCUCAGAGUGCCCGAAGGCACCACGCCUUCACUCCCGCACACGCCCAUGUUCUAAGGUCUAACACCCUGGAGAGUGUGUAUUCUGUGGAGGGGGCGGUGGGUGGGCCUCUACGUCCACCCACAGGGUUCUCAGACUCCCGUGAGUUUUCUGAGGCUGAGUGUGACCGUGAUCCUCGAGACGUUAUCCUUCGAGGACAGAAGGGCAGAGGACAACAACCAAGGCGGCCCUUCACCCCAGCCAUUGGUAAUGACUACAGCAUCCACGUGUGAGCUGACAUUCAUUCCCCACGCUCACACAAGCCCAUCACUAGGCUGAUAGUAGCAUUGUUCCAGAGUGACACUUAUCCAUUACCAGACUGACACAAGUCCAUCAUCAUGCUGACAACAGCAUUGUUCCAGACUGGCAUAUCUCCACCAGGCUGUCAGUAGCAUUGCUCUGGAGUAGCAUUUCUUCCUCACCAGGCUGGCACAAGCCUAUCACCCGGACGACAGCACCAUUGUUCCUGAGUGACAGUUCUCCAUUACCACGCAACACAAGUCAUCACCAAGCUGACAGUAGCAUUGCUGCAGACUGUCACUUCACCUUCACCAGCCUGACUCAGCCCAUCACUAGGCUAAUACCAGCGCCAUCACAGCCAAAUAACAGGUCUAGUCCAGCUUUACAACUGCCCUUCACCAUCCUAACCACAGACGUAUACCUACCCAUUACCAGCCUAAUCACAGAAUCACAUUCACCUCUCACCACUCAGAGCAUAAGUUCCAGAUACUGACAUGUCCACAGCACUGAACGCGUCCAUUACCUACCUAACCCAGCAUUACACCUGCCUUUCACCAUUCUAAUUUCAGCAUUACACCCACCAUCACAAGCCUGCCCACAGGCUUAUGCCAACCAUCACUAGACUUGCCUAUGCCUUACACCCUCCUAUCUCCAUACUGACCACAAUAUUACUAUACACACGGCACCCACCAGCCAAACCACAGUUAUGAACACAUUCAUCACUCCGCUGACACGUUCAUUAAGAACCGAACACACACCACAUUGU